rnacentral:misc_RNA from 1 species
UAUGGAGCAAGUCAGUAAGCAG